GUACUUACUUCGACAGUACAUAUACUAAAAUUAGAACGAUAUAGAGAACAUUAGUAUGGCCCCUGCGCAAGGAUGACAGGAAAAAUCGUGAAUCGUCGCCGGCACGG